rnacentral:tRNA from 1 species
GGAAGGAUGGGUGAGAGGCUGAAACCAGCACACUGCUAACGUGCCGUCCGCAAGGGCCGCAGGUUCGAAUCCUGCUCCUUCCG